GACAAAACGAGCAGCUGCUAUAAUCCGCCGUGUAUCUGUCUUACAAGGACUGAUGGUUUCCUCACCGCAGAGUUUCCAGUUGGUAACUGGAGCCACAGCGACGCCGCAUUUAAUCACUGAGCUGAAGGUCAGGAGAAGGACGGACGACAGGAAGCCUCCAUACGCCUGGAGACACAAAAAUAUCUCACUGAGAUGGAUAAACCCUAAAACAGUCAGUAGUUCUGGAGCAGCAGUCGUAAAUCCUGUCGAGGUUCAGAGAGUCGAGAUCGAUCAGCGGAAAAAACCUCCAGCAGCGCGGCGAGCGGCAGCUCUGAUGCUUCCACACAGGAAGUUUGGCAAUGAAUUGAGAGCAGCGGCAGGAAGUGAUGAGAGGUGGCAGGAAGUGAUGAGAGCAGCAGCAGGAAGUGAUGAGAGGUGGCAGGAAGUGAUGAGAGCAGCGGCAGGAAGUGAUGAGAGCAGCAGCAGGAAGUGAUGAGAGGUGGCAGGAAGUGAUGAGAGGUGGCAGGAAGUGAUGAGAGGUGGCAGGAAGUGAUGAGAGCAGCGGCAGGAAGUGAUGAGAGGUGGCAGGAAGUGAUGAGAGCAGCGGCAGGAAGUGAUGAGAGGUGGCAGGAAGUGAUAUCAGACUGAUUGCAGCUCCGAUCUGUCCGCUCUCACAGGAAGCUGAACGCUGCAGAUCUAA